rnacentral:rRNA from 1 species
UCCAGACUCCUACGGGAGGCAGCAGUGAGGAAUAUUGGUCAAUGGUCGGGAGACUGAACCAGCCAAGCCGCGUGAGGGAGGAAGGUACAGAGUAUCGUAAACCUCUUUUGUCAGGGAACAAAGGCGGGGACGUGUCCCCGGAUGAGUGUACCUGAAGAAAAAGCAUCGGCUAACUCCGUGCCAGCAGCCGCGGUAAUACGGAGGAUGCGAGCGUUAUCCGGAUUUAUUGGGUUUAAAGGGUGCGUAGGCGGGACGUUAAGUCAGCGGUAAAAAUGCGGAGCUCAACUCCGUCGAGCCGUUGAAACUGGCGCUCUUGAGUGGAAGAGAAGUAUGCGGAAUGCGUGGUGUAGCGGUGAAAUGCAUAGAUAUCACGCAGAACCCCGAUUGCGAAGGCAGCAUGCCGGCCUCCGACUGACGCUGAAGCACGAAAGCGUGGGGAUCGAACAGGAUUAGAUACCCUGGUA